GAUGAACGCUGGCGGCGUGCCUAAUACAUGCAAGUCGAGCGAACGGACGAGAAGCUUGCUUCUCUGAUGUUAGCGGCGGACGGGUGAGUAACACGUGGAUCACCUACCUAUCAGACUGGGAUAACUUCGGGAAACCGGAGCUAAUACCGGAUGAUAUUUUGAACCGCAUGGUUCAAAAGUGAAAGACGGUCUUGCUGUCACUUAUAGAUGGAUCCGCGCUGCAUUAGCUAGUUGGUAGGGUAACGGCUUACCAAGGCAACGAUGCAUAGCCGACCUGAGAGGGGGGUCGGCCACACGGGAGCGGAGACACGGUCCAGACGCCUACGGGAGGCAGCAGUAGGGUAUCUUCCGCAAUGGGCGAAAGCAUGACGGAGCAGCGCCGCGUGAGUGAUGAAGGUCUUCGGAUCGUAAAACUCUGUUAUUGGGGAAGAACAUAUGUGUAAGUAACUGUGCACAUCUUGACGGUACCUAGUCAGAAAGCCACGGCUAACUACGUG
rnacentral:rRNA from 1 species